rnacentral:rRNA from 1 species
UACGAAGGGGGCUAGCGUUGCUCGGAAUGACUGGGCGUAAAGGGCGCGUAGGCGGCGAUCGAGGUCAGAUGUGAAAUUCCUGGGCUUAACCUGGGGGCUGCAUUUGAUACGUGGUGGCUUGAGUGCGGAAGAGGGUCGUGGAAUUCCCAGUGUAGAGGUGAAAUGCGUAGAUAUCUGGAGGAACACCGGUGGCGAAGGCGGCGUUCUGGACUGUCUCUGACACUGAAGAACGAAAGCCAGGGGAGCAAACGGG